UCCGUCUGUCUUGUGUGUCUGGUCUCUGUCAGUCUGUCCUGUGUGUCGGAUUUAGUCACUUUUUUAGUCUCAACUUAAAUGGAUGAUUUUAAAGUUGAUUAGUCUCAAGGCGUCUGAUUUCUGCAGGAAAUUCUGGUACUUAUUUUUGAAAUGGCUUGUAAUUUUGGUCUUGAAUCUGUUAUAGUUGCAACUUGGACUGUUGACAAACGUGGAAGCUGAUGAAUCAUGUGGUAAAUGCAUCAUAGUUUACUGUAGCUUGUCUAAAGUUCUUUCAAAGUGCUGUAAAAAUGUAGUAAUUGAUUAUGAUGAGCUAUACCAGGUCUUCCUUUAUUAUCAACUGGUAAUUGCUUUGAUAAGAUAACUGGUUCCUGAUUUGAUUAUGAAGCUAAACUUUUGAUUUAUGUGUAGUCACAUUAGAUUGUAGGUGUUAUUCAGCCCAUGGAUAAUGUUAUGAUAUACUUUAAAUCUGGCAUUUGUUGGCACACUUUUGUUAUCCAUUUGUCUUAAACUUUACGCACUGCUGUCAGCCGUUAACUAAAAUCAAAUUCAAUAUUAAUGCUGACUUGUCUCAAUCUGCCAAGUUUAUUUCCCUCUAAAGGAGUUGAACCUUUUUGGGUUCAUAGUCUUUUUGCGCGUCAUGUUGGGAGGCCUCCCAGCAGGGGAUCUUAUCUUCCCCUGCUAAACUAUGCGUUACUCGCCUUAGGGAUGCAGGGCUAUCCUGCAUAGUUUCUUUCAUAAAUUAGAUUAUAGGUUGCAGGAUUAGAGCGCGUUUCUUUUCUUUAGGAGGACACAAACCUGGCAGAGAGACAACUCGGAUUAUGUAAGUGAAAGUUGGCUUCAUGGUAAAGACUGUUGUGCAAGUACCCUCUUGUAGCAGGAGUGAGCAGCUGCAGCUUUUUGAUUUAUUUUUCGUUAUUUGAUUUGUUUCUUGGAUUGACUUGGUGUCUGGAACUUUGUGGUUAACAGUGAUCAUGUAAACGUGUAAACACAAGUGGUCUUUUGCCUCUUAUUUGCGAAGCUGGCAGCUGGUUGAAAUGAUAGGACUUUAUGGCUUGCCCAGAGUGGGAUUUUUAAUAGAGCAUAGGGUUAACACCUCACCAUACACUAGCUAUUUCAGCCUAAACGUGUCUGUAGUCCGUUAUUACCCAUGACUUUCUUUCAAAUUUCACAAUUUAGGCAGCUUGUAGAGUCAUUAGGAAGAUGCUUAAUCCCAAUGUCCUCGUUGGUUGCAUGAGAAACUGCUAUCUCUUAGAUGUGUUGGCGAAGUUCCUCCUCUGAUUUUGUAGACUUGCCCUAAAGUUUCUCUCUGCUUUAACUCUUGUUGAGCUAUGCAUUAAAUGGUUCCUCCAACUUGUCUCCAUAUCAAUUUUUUUCUCCCUGCAGCCUUCCACCACCCACUGCUGCUGUUGCAUCUGCUAAAGGUAGCCGUAUCCUGAUUCACUGCGUCUUCAUGUGUUGGGUAAGAAGUGUCAUUAGACUACUAACAAUGUAAACACCUUUAAAAUGCUUGAUCUAAUUUACCCAAAUGCUUCAUCAGUUUAGGAUAGAAAAUCCUUGAGUUUGACAUUGUUGGGGUCAGUAACCUGACCUCUAAAUGUUUGGGAAACCAUGCAAAAGAUCGCAAGCUCUCUGCAUGACCCAACAGCAUUGAUGUUUGAGUUAUUUAAUUGCUCAAUUUUUAAAUCAGUCAAGAUUUUAUGAGCUGGGUCUUCUUCACACAACAGAGAACAAGGUAAAUCGAGUCGACUCGUAACAUGGUAAGGCAUUUCGUCUUUCUCCUUCUUCUCUUUGUGUGAGGAAAUCUGGCCACGGAUCCUGACUGAGUGGCAUACCAUGGCUGUGCAGUUUCCAAAAUCAGAUAAGGAUCCAUCUGAUUUUGUGACUCGGCUUGUCAUGAUAUGCAUGUAUCUUCCUCCGAAACAAAGGAUUGGAAUGGACAGGUUUGUAGUGUAAAUCACAUCACAUCACUUGUAGAUGGUGAAGCAUUUGUUUAAAUUGGAGUCAAGCAUUUUCAGGUGUCUGCUUUGUCAAUACUCUGGUGCCACGUCUUGCUAAACACACGAGAAGCUCUGAAUUGUGAAACUGCUGCCUCUUGCAGAUGUUACAACAGCAAUGGCUGUUGAAAGGCUGCAGGGAGAGAAAAUGAGAUCUGAGGACAGGAAAGUGGAAUUGAUUUCAUGCUUAGCAAAAUGAGGGUUUCAGCAGAGGAACUUUUUGUGGCGAGGCUACGGAAUCAGAAGGAACGUUUGUCUGGGCAACUGGGAGAUUUACAGUUUUUCUUGCAGCCGACCAAGACAUUGGGGUUAGCAUCAUCCCAAAUGGCUGGCAAAGAUUGCUUGUAACUGUCAGUGUAGCACAGGAAAGGCAGGUAUAGGUUAGGGAGGGCAUUCAUCAGUGAGCUCUGACUGGAUGUGAGGACCUGUCACACUUGACCAGAGAUGAAAGCUGCAACACAUUCCUGGAUCAGAGGACUCAAUGUUGGACACCACGACCUGGAGAAGUCCCAUCCUGGAUGGCUGCGGUGAAGACCUAGCCCAAGAUGAACCAACCCUUCCACGACGAGGACUUUGCCCAAGAUGAACCGACCCUUCUACGACGAGGACUUCGCCCAAGAUGAACCGACCCUUCUACGACGAGGACUUCGCCCAAGAUGAACCGACCCUUCUACGACGAGGACUUCGCCCAAGAUGAACCGACCCUUCUACGACGAGGACUUUGCCCAAGAUGAACCGACCCUUCUACGACGAGGACUUCGCCCAAGAUGAACCAACUUUUUCCACGGGAUGUCUUCAGAUGUUGGACCUUGCCAAACUGUACACGUGCCUCAAUGGCUGCUACUUCACUCUGCCCAACAGGACAUGGUUAAAUGGACUUCAACCCCCACAACCACACAUGACAAAACACUGUACAUGUGACGCAUCGCCAUACUAAAAUACAGACACUGCUACUUUCAGCCUGCUUCAGUCUGUAAAAGAUUGGAAGCCCUCUGCAUGACCCAACAGCAUCGAUGUUUGAGUUAUUUAAUUGCUCCAUUUUUAAAUCAGUCAAGAUUUUAUGAGCUGGGUCUUCUUCACACAACAGAGAACAAGGUAAAUUGAGUCGACUCGUAACAUGGUAAGGCUUUUCGUCCUUCCCCUUCUUCUCUGUGUGUGAGGAAAUCUGGCCACAGAUCCUGACUGAGUGGCAUACCAUGGCUGUGCAGUUUCCAAAAUCAGACAAGGAUCCAUCUGAUUUUGUGACUCGGCUUGUCAUGAUAUGCACGUAUCGUCCUCCUGAUGGUGUAUAGACACUGCUACUUUCAGACUGUAAUGUUUGACAUUGAAAACUUGUGUUUAUUGCAUUCUUAAAAUCAAGUAAAACUUUUGUUCUUAA